GUGCUGGACCAGCAGUAGGAAUUACCUCCCUUGGUAUAGCCUACGUCAGUACGUGAUAUUUAGUAGUUGUUUGUCAUGAGUUAUCCCCCGUAGUGUCGCUCUUUUUAUUGCAGAAGAACGCCAGAAAUUAUAAACACGUUUUACAGCGUUACAAGACCGCAGUGCAUUUAGCACAUGUGCAAGCCUAUUUUUUGAAAUGCCUUAAAUCAGAAGUCAGGCUAGGUGUCACCACAGCGUAAGUUUAUAUAUGCAUGUACAAGUAUAGAUCUAUUAUAGUGUGCAGUACAGUACCUAUAUAUUGUAAUGAUUCAAUCUAUAAUUGUUAAUCAGAUGUGUGAAUAGUUAAAUACUAAAUUGUUAUAGUGUUUAUAAUACUAUCUAUUAGAAUGUUGUCUAUGAGUUCAGUUCUCAGACAUGAUAAUAUGACCAUUAACGAUGAGGCUAAUUGAUAUCAGAGUUAAUAUGUCAAUAGUUAUAGUAACAACAAAGUCUUUGAUUGUACAAUGUACCUUUAAUUUUCAAGUAAUUAUAUUGUUGAUUUGUCAAUAUUAUGAUACUAGUAUUCAGUAUUCUAGUCAACAAUGUUAGCUAUAUAGGAAAAACAGUAUGUUUAGUAUGAAAUAGAAUAUUUGUCACUAUGUUAGGACUCAUAAGAGUAUUUUGUUUCACAUUUCAGUUCUUACGGUGUUAACUAUGGUUUUAACUAUAGUGUUAUGUUGAAUAAACAAGUUUGACGUC